rnacentral:rRNA from 1 species
GCAAUGGCGGGCUGGUCCUCUCUCGCGUACGACCUCGUCAUCGAAGUCGGCGACCGUCUCCUCGCCGCCGGCGACCUUGACUUCUACAUGAACAUGCGGGCCGUCUGUCGCGGCUGGCGUGACGCAACCGACAGCCCUAGGGCCAAUCCGGCGGACCCUCGCUUCCUCCUCCGGCAGUGGGUCCUGCUGGACGAGAAGUUCCCAAAGAGGGGUGACGCCCUCGCCGCCGGCCGCCUCUUCCUCAACACCACCACGGGACGCUCCGUCCACAGAGAGCUCCCAUGCCUCCCCAACCACUACUUCGUGACGAGCACAGGUGGCCUCCUCGUCAUGGCAAGCAGGGUCGCUCCACACGCCGUAUGCGUCGUCAACCCUAUCACGGCUUCCCCCAUCACGUUCAUGGCGCCCAUACCU